rnacentral:rRNA from 1 species
CACGUAGGGCGCAAGCGUUGUCCGGAAUUAUUGGGCGUAAAGAGCUCGUAGGCGGUCUGUUGCGUCCGCUGUGAAAACUCGGGGCUUAACCCCGAGCCUGCAGUGGAUACGGGCAGACUAGAGGUAGGUAGGGGAGAGUGGAAUUCCCGGUGUAGCGGUGAAAUGCGCAGAUAUCGGGAGGAACACCGGUGGCGAAGGCGGUUCUCUGGGCCUUACCUGACGCUGAGGAGCGAAAGCGUGGGGAGCGAACAGG